rnacentral:lncRNA from 1 species
UGAUCGGCAGGCGACGCGCCAUGGACAGGGGCAGAGCAAUCAGUCAUCAGUCAUCAGUCAUCAGUGUGUGUGGUCACUCUCCCGUACUCACUCAUGGCCUGCGGUUAAAAUUUUCCUUUUCUUUCUUCCUUCCGUGUCGUGGGUUCUUGUUUAUGUCUAAUUAGGCGUUGAGUUGUGCAUGUGAACAGAGGAGUUGAGCUGUUAUGUUCUUGGUGCCUAGCUUGUUUCUUUAGUUGGUUAUAUUGUCAUGAAUGAAUAUAUCAUACCAGUAAUUAAGCACACUCCAUAGAAAAUUUGGGGCGAUGGUAGUAUAUUUGGAUGGAACGAGUUGACUACUCUUAAUUCUGAUCCCGAACAUGCGAUGAUCAUUUGCAUACUUGAUCAAAUCCAUGUGAUGCUAUGAACACUCGCACAACUCCUCGCACACAAAACACAGCGGGGCUCUGUUCUCACUCGUGACCUAAGAGCAUCUACAGCCGGAAAUCCGGUCCCUCAAACGCCGCGCAUACCCGCGGGCGCAUCCGGACGGCCCCUCAUGUUUUCUUUCAUGCAUCCACAUAUCUUAAAUUCAUGCAAAUAUAUGCACGUCGAUCAUGCAACACAAUGUCGUACGAUAAAUAUCAAUUGUUGGUAUCAAGCAUACAUGGCGUUUACAUAAAAUUUAUUUGAAGUGCCAAACUCCAGCAUUGCCUCCUUGGUUGCCAUUCUGGAUUCACAUGUGCUCCACAAGAUCAUUGAGUAGCUGCGUGUGCACCUGCUGAUUCCGAAGAUUCUGAUGCAUCUGCAGAAAGUUCAUAAGCUAGCCGCAUUUUGAUCUUCCGGGAUUUCAACUUGUUCUCCGGGUGCUUCGAAAUUGUGGGUUUGGGCUACACCAUCAUCCUCAUCCUCGACAAUCAUAUUAUGCGAAAUAACACAACAUGUCAUCAGCUGUCACAAAGUUUUCGAUUCCCACAUCAUUGCAGCGCUCCGCACAAUUCCUCAACAAGCUUCAAGCACAUCAAAUGUCCUCUCCACGUCCUUCCUAGCCGCUUCCUGCAUUGUUGCAAAGUGGCUCUGUUUAUUGCCACGCGGCUCGGAUAUGGUCUUCACAAACGCCGCCCACUGAGGAUAGAUACCAUCGGCAAGAUAGUACCCCAUGUUGUAGCCCCGGCCGUUGACGAUGUAGUUGCACGGCGGUGAGAUCGUUGAAGCACGUUGAUCUCGUUGUGAGAAUUGGACAUUCCAAAGAAAGCAUGCCAAAUUCAUAAGUCAUGUGAUGCCAUUGCUUCUAGUAUGAUGGUGGCCUCUCUGGUGUGACCUUGAUACAUUUCCUGCAAACCUUUGGGGCAGUUUUUCCACUGCCAACGCAUACAAUCAAUUGAUUCGAGCAUUCCUGGAAAACCCCCUUGCCUCCUCCAAUAGCCAAACAUCUUCUCCAUGUCCUGCGCAUUUGGUUCUCUGAGAUACUUCGAUCCAAACACCUCAACCACCGCGCGAGCAAAUUUGACAGUAGUCUUGAGGCAUGUGCCUCCCCCAUCCUGGACAUCUCACCAACGGCAUCUGCAGCAGUACCAAGUGCAAGCAUCCUCAAAGCAGCCGUGCACCUCUGCUUGGCUGAGAAAGAGAGUUGGCCGCACCAAUCCCUUCUCAGCUUGAAGUAGUCGUCGUGUGCCUCCACUCCCUCCAUGAUGCGCAAAAACAAUAUUUCCGCAUGCGAAAACAACGACAAAACCAUGGAUCAUCCGGGGAAGCAGGUGUGGGAGCAAAGUAGUCAUUGUGCAGUAGCUUUGCUUUGGACACCCUGUCCCGGUUGAUCACUCUUCUCCCUUUGAUUGAGCCCUUGAAGUUGAGAAUAUGCUCCACUUACCGGUCCAUUUCCUCUUGCAUGCUUGAGCAUGAUCAUGUUCACUUCUUCGUCCGAAUCUGACGGAUCGAAGAACUCAUCUUCAAUCAUUUGGUCAAGCUCCGUUGGUCCAUACUCCUCGUCCGACGAAACAUCGGUUUCCAUCAUUUACCUUACAAAAUCACAAUAAUUCCGGUCGGUCAAUGUGUCGAACACAUCAAGCGCAAGGCGGAGCCGGAGAGUUGCUGAACGUACCACGGUGGCGUCCGGGCUGGCGACAACGUCCCCUGUAGCGAGGACGGGAGCGCUCUUCCGGAGCUGGCGGCGGAGAACCUGGGAACGGUUGCGGAGCGGGCGCGGCGGUGGAGCUGCGAGCCGGACGAUACGGAGGAGGAAGAAGAGAGGAGAGAGCAAAUGGAUNNNNNNNNNNNNNNNNNNNNNNNNNNNNNNNNNNNNNNNNNNNNNNNNNNNNNNNNNNNNNNNNNNNNNNNNNNNNNNNNNNNNNNNNNNNNNNNNNNNNNNNNNNNNNNNNNNNNNNNNNNNNNNNNNNNNNNNNNNNNNNNNNNNNNNNNNNNNNNNNNNNNNNNNNNNNNNNNNNNNNNNNNNNNNNNNNNNNNNNNNNNNNNNNNNNNNNNNNNNNNNNNNNNNNNNNNNNNNNNNNNNNNNNNNNNNNNNNNNNNNNNNNNNNNNNNNNNNNNNNNNNNNNNNNNNNNNNNNNNNNNNNNNNNNNNNNNNNNNNNGAGGUGAAGUCGGGUUGUCGGGUUUGACGUGACAGGCGCGUCCGGGCGCCCAUAUCCACCCUAUAUUUGGGCUGGAUAUGGAUGUGCUGGUCAGCCCGUACGUUUGAGGGUCAUUUGAGGGGUCCGUCUGGGUCAAGAAAAUCGUGACCGAGUAGUGCGGAUCGCCCUGGCAUAUGAGAGGGGUUUAAAAAGUCCGGUUGAAGCUGUGAAGAAAUUGUGUGGCAUGUCGUGAUCAAUGCGUGAUGUUCUGGUGUGUGUUUCGGUACGGCUAUGCGUGUGUUGGUUGGUCAGAUUUGUUUGUCUGGUGGAUCAGCUAAGUCUGAUCAAAUCAAAUAGCCAAUCAAUCAUGCAGUCAGGCUGGUCACACACAAAAGGCUCGUGCAUUAUCAUGCUGCCUCCGGGAACAAGAACUCGUGGAUUAGCUUAAUCAACUCACAGCCUGAUACAGGCGAAAAGCGGAACGAAAUCAUAUGAAUGUUCGGGGGAAAACACGGCGAGCUUUUCACCAGAGAAAGGGAUCAUCAUGGAAGGAGGCCGCUGGCGUCUCUCUCUUUUGGAGGCGUAAAGCUGGUCUGGACCCUCGUAUCGUUGGAAAGGCAAAUGUCUCCGGCCGGAAGCCCCGGCCACCUUCAGUUCAGUCAGCAGCUAAACAGGCUUCUGUUGCGAAUAAAUGUCGGCCUCCUUUUCCGGUGCUUGAUGCUGCAAGCUGCUAUCGCCGGCCAGGAACUCAUGACAGCCACUUAGCAGAGAUUUUUUUAUAUAUCCUAUGUUGAAUUCUUGAUGCAUCUGAAGUUGAUUCAAAUCCUAAUGCCUGACAAUGAAAAACAGCUCAUCGCACAGCCACGGACGGACACAGCAUCGUGCCGGUGCUGCCACUGCGCACACGCGUGCUCUGUGCCGGCCUGCCGGGACACGGGCGCGCGCUCUGGCACUGGGGCGGUGCACUGGCGCAUGGCCACGACAAGGCGCGGGGCCAGCGCGCGGCGGCCAGAAGCGGGCGUCCAGAAUGCUCCGGCUGGAUAUGGUGUGACGGGCGGUGUGUCAUUCUCUUCAGAUAUUCCAGCAGAGACUGUUAGCUCAACUGCUCAAGAUGCUCGGCCCAUGCUGGCACUCGCCAAAUCGGGGGCCAACGUACAGUGGAUCUGUCAGCGUCGUCGCUCCAUUACUGUCUAAGUUCGCAUGGGCGAGAACCUCUCGUGCCUGGCUGCCUGCUCCGUGACAGGAACGCCGCCAAACACGGCCCUGUUUGCGCCAUGAAUGCCGUUCAUCGCGCUGUCGACGCUUGCGUCCAAUUCCCUGUUUCUCAGAAUCAACGAACAACUCGUUCACACGAUCCACCCCGUGCCAUGCAAUGCAAUCAGCCAGACAAUCACUGGGAACCAGGCAUGUUCGUCAUGAGUACAUCGCAUGUGCCCUCAAGUUCCGUCGUCACACGCAUCACAGCUCGAAGAAUCAACACUUACCAUUUUUUUUUAAAGAUCAGUCACACACUCACACUGACUGAACUGCAAACCAACUACGAACCAGUGGACAGUGGACACUGGUCGUUCACUGGCGCGUCGAGGUGUUCGGCGGCCCGCCUGUUCACGAACUCGGCCACGUCGGCCAGCAGCCUCUGGCUGUCCGCGAGGCCCUCGAAGAGGUAGAACGCGUGGAUGGCGUCGGGGAACUCCGCGACGCGGACCUCCUCGGCGCCGGCGGCUCGCAGCGCGUUCGCGUACGCCCUCUGCCUGUCCUGGUGCACGUCCCACCCGCCCACGCACACCAGCGUCGGCGGGAACGCGCGCCACCUCCCCGCGGCGGUGGCACCGUCGCGCUGGAUCGCGUCCGGCACGUUGGCCGACUCGUGGUCCCGCGUGGCGCCCGGCGGCAGGAACGCGCGCCACAGCCAGGCCAGCCGCUCCGGCGACCCGAACGGCGCGUGGAAGAGCCGCUGCUCCGACGCUGUCCGCGCCUCGCCGCCGAAGAACGGCUGCAGCAGGACCAACCCGGCCACGUCGCGCUGCAGGCGCGCGGCGACGUGGUGGGCGACGUUGCCGCCCGCGCUAUCCCCGGCGACGAAGACGGCGGUGGGGGGAGACGGCAAGGCGCCCCCGGCGCCGGCGAGUGCCCAGCGGAGCGCCGCCUCCCCGUCGUCGUAGGCGGAAGGGGCGCGGUGCUCGGGCGCGAGGCGGUAGUCCACGGAGGCGACGACGGCCGGGAUGGACGCGGCGAGGCGGCGGCACAGGGCGUCGAACUGGGCCGUCGCCACGGAGUGGAACACGAAGCCGCCGCCGUGGAAAUACACAACCAUUGGCAGCUGGCUGCCGCUAGCGGCGGGCGCUGGGACGAACAGGCGGACGCGCAGGUGGCUGGAGACGGCGUGGUCGGUGGACGAAACGCCGGCGGCAUCGGGUGCGGGGCUAGGCGGGACGGUGCGUUCGAACAGGGAGAGGAGGGAGCGGUUGACGGUGCCGUCGGCGCGGAGGGACGCGGAGUGUAGGAAUGAGGCUGCGCCCACGAGCAGGCGCACCCGCCACGGCAGAGGGGGCUUCCCCGGCGGCGGAGAAUCCGACGACGCCAUCUCUCCUCAGUUUCCGGCCGUCCGGGUGCCCCUUGGAGUUGGUGGUGAUAAGGUUUACGAGCGGACACCGAGUGUUUCUUGUACUGUACUCUAUUGGCGCAGGGAGGAACUGAACAAUCUCAAGCUCAGUGUCAAGCUUGCAUUUGCCAACUAAGACCAUGUUUGGUUCAUAAGUCUUAAAGACUUUUUUUAAUCCCAACUUAUAAAUUCCAAGUUCCUAAAAAGUCUUUAUCUGUUUGGUUCCUGAGACUUAUAAGUCUCUAUAAGACCAUAUUACAACUAUAAGUACCUAUAAGACUCUCCUUGAGAGUCUUAUUUCAUAAGUCUCAAAUGCCCACUUUAAGUCCCUAUAAGUCCCUCCUGUUUAGUUUAGAUGGGACUUGGGCUUUUUUAAGUUCCUAAACUAAUAAGUCCCCGGAAACAAACACCCUCUAAUCUUACGGCCUCAUUUGGCGCGAGUGGGUUGAGGGGGUUUCGAGGCGAUUUUCCUCGCGUGGGCCAGAAACCCCCAGAAACCACGUUGGCCCAUUUGGUACAGGGGGUUUGUAUGGGCCAAUCCAUGCGAAACCACGCGACUCGAAACCCUCGUCUAGCGACUCAGGGAAUCGCUCGUCCCAUCACACGCCGCCAGCGAGAGGAAGAGACGCCGCCGCCGUCACCACCGAGGGGAAGAGCCCCGCCACCGCCACCGAGGGGAAGAGCCCCGCCGGCGAGAGGAGGAGCCCCCACGCCGCCGCCCGACGCCCCGACACCACCCGACGCCCCGACGCCGCCCGACUCUGCCCAACGCCGGCGUUGCUCCUCCAGCAUACUGUCCUGUGGUAAGCCAUCUCCGCCUCCCCCCUCCCCCCUCCUCUGCCCGCCUCCGUCCUAACCCUGUCCCCGGUGGUAAGUCAUCGACGCCGGCGAGCUCGCCAAGAACGUUGUCCUCUUCUAGUCACUCAUCGACCCUAACACCACCCGACGAGAUUGCCGUGAUUUUCUGAUAGUGAUGGUGAUGGUCUGAGGGAUCUAGGAGGAUUGACAGUUUGUAGCAAUAUUGUGUUUCUAUAGAAUGAGAUGUUUAUUUCAUUUAUUUGAAAUGGAUGAGUGCUCUGCAUAUUUGUUAGGAGAGAAUCCAUGUUUCAAAUGUCCAUUGCCGGAGAUGUCAAGAUUCGUUAGUAGUUGAUGCAAAGGAGGAGGACUUGUUGGGUUGUGGUGACGUCCCCGACCUAAUUGAUGGAGAAGCAAUCCCUCAUCUCAAUGGUCGACAAGACAUCAGUGCAUGUCACCCAUAAUGGGCCUAUUUAGUACGUAUUGUAGGAUGUUAGCAAAGUUGGUCGAUCAACUGGCUGCUAAUUCUAUCAUCGUAGUUCAAUUCUGCAGCAAGGAUAUAAGGGUUACAUUGUAAAGAUUGGAUUUUUAAAUGUUCUACACAAUGUUAUGUCAACAUGACAAACCCUUUCUACCAAAUAGAAAUUUUAAACAAAGAGGAUUGUGAAAGGAAGGGUUUUGAGGAUUCAAGGGGUUUUGAGGGGAUUGGGUGGAAGAGGGGGAUUCACCAAAUCCCCUGAACCCCCCCCCCCCCUCCCAAAACCUCUACAAUCCCUUCCUANNNNNNNNNNNNNNNNNNNNNNNNNNNNNNNNNNNNNNNNNNNNNNNNNNNNNNNNNNNNNNNNNNNNNNNNNNNNNNNNNNNNNNNNNNNNNNNNNNNNNNNNNNNNNNNNNNNNNNNNNNNNNNNNNNNNNNNNNNNNNNNNNNNNNNNNNNNNNNNNNNNNNNNNNNNNNNNNNNNNNNNNNNNNNNNNNNNNNNNNNNNNNNNNNNNNNNNNNNNNNNNNNNNNNNNNNNNNGGGUCUUGCCCAACUAAUCUUCUCUCCCUCACCUUUUUUUUUGAAAUCUAUUGGCACUUUAUUGCAUAACUGAAAAAGUUACAUCCUUCGUUACAUGCGGUAAUAAAAAAUCUAGAGGCUCAUCCUCCCAGGAGAACUCUAACUGCAUAUCAUACGCAUGUCUAGCUACAAAGUGUGCCAAUGUAUUUGCUUCCCUAGGACAGUACAUGAACUUCACGGUUGGUAUUUCAUGAGCCACUUGAAAACAAUCAGCUAAUAAUGCUGAGUAUGGUGCUCUAAUUUCCUUCUCACCAUUGCAUGCUUCUAUAAUUUCUAGGUAGUCCGAUUCUAUAUUCACCCUUGAGCAGUUUUUCUCACUGCCAGCAACAAGCCACGCCGUAGUGCUAGCACUUCCGCUGAAGCAACAUCAUGAGCAUGAGCGAAGAGCUCUGUAGCCCCCGCUACUGCAUGUCCUCGAGAGUCUCUGAUAAUAGCAGUGAUCGCUCCUGAGCCAUCUUCAAAAAAAGAAGCAUCUGUGUUUACCUUGUACGAUCCUGGUGUCUGUUUCACCCAUCGCUCAGAAAAAGUAAUAUUUUCUGGAAUCUGACCAAUAUGAUUUGAUGCAAUUGCAUGAAUUGAGAAUGCUGAACUGAUGGGAUUCUUGACAGUAGCACCCUUCUUUGCUUCCCUACGUUCCCACCAAAUAUACCAUGCACCAACCGUAACUACUUCUUGGAGACCCAGGUGACCUAGUAUUGGUGAUCUCUGAACUGGCCACCUUAGAAUCUCCUCCAAAACAACUGAGCCAGACCGAUCCACAAGGAGAGAUUUCUCUAUUUCAUCCAUAAGGCCAAGUGCCUUCCACACUUUCCUCGCCCUACUACAUGUGAAUAACAGAUGCCGAAUGUCCGCGACCCACUCCCGACAGAUAGGGCAUUGUGGAGAUACCUUUAUGUGUCUGUGAGCAAGAACUCCCAUGCCCAGGAUCACUCCACGUAGUGCUCGCCACAUAUAAAUUUUGAUCUUACUUGGUACUUUCAGCUUCCAUAUAAUUGACCACACUGGGUUCACCGUUGGAGGGCCUUCGGUGCUCACCAUGCGGGAGCCAAAUUGAUGUUCCCAUUCUGUGUAGUAUGCAGAACAUACAGAAAACACAUAUGAUUUAGUUCGAUGCCAAGCCACAAAGUCCUCCGUGAGGUGUUGUCAUAAAGGAAUUCCGAGACCGCAUCCAUUGGGAGGAAUAUAUUCCUAAUCAAGGACUCGUCCCAGCUUCCUGAAUAUGGAUCAAUUAGUUCAUCCACUGUUUUCAAUAAAACGUUCCCUUUCCUUGUACUCCCUCCGUUUCUUUUUAGUUUACAUAUAAAAUUUGGUCAAAGUCAAAUUUUGUAAAGUUUGACCAAAUUUAUAGAAAAAAAUAUGAACAUCUAUAAUACUAAAGCUAUAUGGUAUGAAAACUAAUUUCAUGAUGCAUCUAACAAUAUUGAUUUCAUAUUGUGAAUCUUAAUAUAUUUUUCUAUAAACUUAGUGAAAGUUAACAAAGUUUGACUUUGACCAAAUCUUAUAUGCAGACUAAAAAGAAACGGAGGGAGUAUACACCAUCCUUGUUGGGCUGCUCGGGAUCCAAUGAUCCUCCCAUAUAUUUAUUUUCUCCCCUGUACCGAGUGUCCAAAUAUGUCCCCUUCUGAAAGUUUGCAACCCCGCCACUAUGCUUUGCCAUGUAAAUGAAGAGCCAUUUUUUGGGCCCGCCUUGAGCAAACUGCCAUCUGGAAAGUACUUUGCUCUAAGAACUCUUGCACAUAGGGUUUCUGGAUGGGUGAUCAUCCUCCAACUCUGUUUGGACAACAUUGCCAAAUUAAAAGCAUGUAGGUCUCUGAAUCCCAUACCUCCUUUCUCCUUUGGUAGGCACAUCCGCCACCAAGCUAGCCAAUGCAUUUUCUUCUCUUCCUCAGUGUCACCCCCCCAAAACGCUGCCAUGGCAUCGGUGAUCUCUUUGCAUAUUUUUGGGGGGGAUUUUGAAAACAGCCAUUGCAUAUACAGGGAUGGAUUGUAUAACUGCCUUCGGUAGGAUCUCCUUGCCACCCAUGGACAAGAUUUUUUUCCUUCCACCCCUUCAACCUGUUCACCAUCCUCUCGACAAGGUUGGUAAAGCUAUCACUUCUAUCCAGGCCUACCAUAGUAAGGAGCCCAAGAUACAUAUCUGAGACUGCUUCAGUCAUGAUAUUAAGUUCUGCACACAUGUCAGCUCUUACAUGAACAUUCACAUUGGGACUAAAAAAGAUACUACUCUUUCCCACACUCAUCAACUGACCAGAGCUAGCACAAUAUUCCUCCAAUACCGGACUCAACGAGGUUGCAUUAGUCAUAUCCGCCUUCAUAAGGAUUAGGGAAUCAUCCGCAAAAAGUAAAGGUGAUACUGAUGGUGCAUUUCUGCACACCCGGACUCCUUCAAUGCCACGAACCUCCUCUUUAUGAGCCAAAGCACUAGACAAACCUUCUGCACACAUGAGAAAUAAAUAAUGUGAUAAGGGAUCCCCUUGACGGAGCCCCCUCAUAGGAAUAAACCAUUUUGUCUCUUGAUCAUUGUAUCUUACUUUGUAUUUAACAGAUGUCACACACGCCAUUAUGAGUUGCACAAUCUCUUCAUGGAAACCCAACUUUAACAUCAUUUUCUCCAAGAACCUCCACUCUAAUCGAUCAUACGCUUUGUGCAUGUCCAGUUUUACCGCACAAUAGCACACCUUCCCUUUCUUUUAAUUCUUUAUAGUAUGUAAGCACUCAUAGGCUAGCAGAAUAUUAUCCGUAAUAAGACAGCCCGGGACAAAAGCACUUUGAACGGGAGAAAUAUUUCAUCAAGGCAAGACUUAAUGCCAAAAGCAAUCAUUUUUUAGAUCACCUUGUAAAGUACGUUGCAGAGACUAAUCGGCCUAUACUGAGAAAUUCUUUCUGGUUCAUCCACUUUAGGGAUCAAGAUAAUGACUGUAUCAUUCCAUCCUUCUGGGAUUAUUUUGUUAUUGAUUGCACUUAAGACUUCAGCAGUUAAUACAUCCCCCAAUACGUGCCAACAUUUCUUAAAGAAAAUGGCGUGGAGACCGUCCGUACCUGGAGCUUUUAGAUCACCAAUAGAGAACAGAGCUCUCUUGACUUCCUCCGCCAUAUAAGGCCUCGGAAAUGCUUCAUUCAUCUCAACUGUCACACGCGGCAUGACUUUUUCUAACAGCCCGGGGUCCGGCUCGUCAAUUUCCGACAUAAAAAGCCCAACAAAAUAAUCUGAAAUAUUUGGGUUCAGGUAGGCAGUACCUUCCUGCCAAGCUCCCUGUUCAUUCAUCAACCUCUUUAUACAAUUUCUCUUCUUCCUGGCCGAGCCGUACUGUUGAAAAUAUUGAGUAUUUUUGUCACCGAAUUUCAGCCAGUCCAAGCCGCAUCUCUGACCCCAGUGUAUCUCCUCUAACUGAAGUAAUUUUUCAAUUUCCUCUGUGAGCUCUCUCUGCCGGGUAACAUUCUCCGGGGACAACACGCCCCUAGCAACCUGUUCUAGUUCCUUCUGUACUUUCUUUAAGUUCUUUGAGCUUUUCUUCAGUACAGUUCUAUCCCAUCUAUGGAGAUGCUCAUGAACAUGCGAUAGCCGAGCUGCAAGGUCACCUCCUAGCACACCAGAGUCCGAAGAAACCCAUGCUUCCUGCACCACAUCCUGAAAUUUUGCCUCUCGUAACCAUCGAGCUUCAAAUCGCAGUACAGCAGGCCCCUUUUUUGUUGGGGAACGUAGCAGAAAUUCAAAAUUUUCUACGCAUCAUCAAGAUCAAUCUAUGGAGUUUACUAGCAACGAGAGGGAAGGAGUGCAUCUACAUACCCUUGUAGAUCGCGAGCGGAAGCGUUCAAGAGAACGGGGUUGAUGGAGUCGUACUCGUCGUGAUCCAAAUCACCGAUGAUCCUAGCGCCGAACGGACGGCACCUCCGCGUUCAACACACGUACGGAGCAGCGACGUCUCCUCCUUCUUGAUCCAGCAAGGAGGGAGGAGAGGUUGAUGGAGAUCCAGCAGCACGACGGCGUGGUGGUGGAAGUAGCGGGGAUCCCGGCAGGGCUUUGCCAAGCACUAACAGGAGGGAGAGGUGUCACGGGAGGGAGAGGGAGGCGCCAGGGGCUAGGGUGCUGCUGCCCUCCCUCCCCCCACUAUAUAUAGGCCCCCUGGGGGGGCGCCGGCCCUGGAGAUCCCAUCUACAAGGGGGGCGGCCAAGGGGGGAAACUUGCCCCCAAGCCAGGUGGGGUGCCCCCCACCCCCAGGGUUUCCAACCCUAGGCGCAGGGGGAGGCCCAUGGGGGGAGCACCAGCCCACUAGGGGAUGGUUCCCCUCCCACUUCAGCCCAUGGGGCCCUUCUGGGAUAGGUGGCCCCACCCGGUGGACCCCCGGGACCCUUCCGGUGGUCCCGGUACAAUACCGAUAACCCCCAAAACUUUCCCGGUGGCCGAAACUGGACUUCCUAUAUAUAAUUCUUCACCUCCGGACCAUUCCGGAACUCCUCGUGACGUCCGGGAUCUCAUCCGGGACUCCGAACAACUUUCGGGUUACCGCAUACUAAUAUCUCUACAACCCUAGCGUCACCGAUCCUUAAGUGUGUAGACCCUACGGGUUCGGAAGACACGCAGACAUGACCGAGACGACUUUCCGGUCAAUAACCAACAGCGGGAUCUGGAUACCCAUGUUGGCUCCCACAUGCUCCUCGAUGAUCUCAUCGGAUGAACCACGAUGUCGGGGAUUCAAUCAAUCCCGUAUACAAUUCCCUUUGUCUAUCGGUAUGUUACUUGCCCGAGAUUCGAUCGUCGGUAUCCCGAUACCUUGUUCAAUCUCGUUACCGGCUAGUCCCUUUACUCGUUCCGUAACACAUCAUCCCGUGAUCAACUCCUUGGUCACAUUGUGCACAUAAUGAUGAUGUCCUACCGAGUGGGCCCAGAGAUACCUCUCCGUUUACACGGAGUGACAAAUCCCAGUCUCGAUUCGUGCCAACCCAACAGACACUUUCGGAGAUACCUGUAGUGCACCUUUAUAGCCACCCAGUUACGUUGUGACGUUUGGUACACCCAAAGCAUUCCUACGGUAUCCGGGAGUUGCACAAUCUCAUGGUCUAAGGAAAUGAUACUUGACAUUAGAAAAGCUCUUAGCAAAUGAACUACACGAUCUUGUGCUAGGCUUAGGAUUGGGUCUUGUCCAUCACAUCAUUCUCCUAAUGAUGUGAUCCCGUUAUCAACGACAUCCAAUGUUCAUGGUCAGGAAACCGUAACCAUCUAUUGAUCAACGAGCUAGUCAACUAGAGGCUUACUAGGGACAUGGUGUUGUCUAUGUAUCCACACAUGUAUCUGAGUUUCCUAUCAAUACAAUUCUAGCCUGGAUAAUAAACGAUUAAUAUGAACAAGGAAAUAUAAUAAUAACCAAUUUAUUAUUGCCUCUAGGGCAUAUUUCCAACAGUCUCCCACUUGCACUAGAUUCAAUAAUCUAGUUCACAUCACCAUGUGAUUAACACUCAUAGGUCACAUCACCAUGUGACCAACAUCCAAAGAGUUUACUAGAGUCAACAAUCUAGUUCACAUCACUAUGUGAUUAACACUCAAUGAGUUCUGGUUUGAUCAUGUUAUGCUUGUGAGAGAGGUUAUUAGUUAACGGGUCUGAACCUUUCAGAUCCAUGUGUGCUUUACGAAUAUCUAUGUCAUCUUGUGGAUGCUACUACGCGCUACUUGGAGCCAUUUCAAAUAACUGCUCUACUAUACGAAUCCGGUUUACUACUCAGCGUCAUCCGGAUUAGUGUCAAAGUUCGCAUCGACGUAACCCUUUACGACGAACUCCUUUUCACCUCCAUAAUCGAGAAAAUUCCUUAGUCCACUAGAUGCUAAGGAUAAGUUCGACUGCUGUCAUGUGAUCCAUUCCCGGAUCACUAUUGUACCCCUUGACCAACUCAUGGCAAGGCACACUUCAUGUGCGGUACACAGCAUAGCAUACUGUAGAGCCUACGUCUAAAGCAUAGGGGACGACCUUCGUCCUUUCUCUCUCUUCUGCUGUGGUCAGGUCUUGAGUCUUACUCAAUACUCACAUCUUGUAACACAACUAAGAACUCCUUCUUUGCUGAUCUAUUUUGAACUCUUUCAAAAUCAUGUCAAGGUGUGCGUUCUUUGAAAGUAUCAUCAGGCGUCUUGAUCUAUCUCUAUAGAUCUUGAUGCCCAAUAUGUAAGCAGCUUUAUCCAGGUCUUCCUUUGAAAAAACUCCUUUCAAACAACCCUUUAUGCUUUCCAGAAAUUUUACAUCAUUUCGGAUCAACAAUAUGUCAUUCACAUAUACUUAUCAGAAAUGUUGUAGCGCUCCCACUCACUUUAUUGUAAAUACAAGUUUCUAACAAACUUUGUAUAAACCCAAAAACUUUGAUCACUCCAUCAAAGCGUAUAUUCUGACUCCGAGAUGCUUGCUCUAGUCCAUGGAAGGAUCGCUGGAGCUAGCAUACCUUUUAGCAUCCUUAGGAUCGACAAAACCUUUCUGAUUGUAUCACAUACAACCUUUCCUUACGAAAAUUGGUAAGGAAACUUGUUUUUGACAUCCAUCUGCCAGAUUUCAUAAAUGCAGCUAAUGCUAACAUGAUUCCGACGGACUUAAGCAUCGCUACGGAUGAGAAAAUCUCAUCGUAGUCAACUCCUUGAACUUGUGAAAAUACUCUUUGCCACAAGUCGAGCUUCAUAGACGGUAACAUUACCGUUCACGUCCGUCUUCUUCUUAAAGAUCCAUUUAUCUCAAUGGCUUGCCAAUCAUCGGGCAAGUUCACCAAAGUCCAUGCUUUGUUCUGAUACAUGGAUUCUAUCUCGGAUUUCAUGGCCUCGAGCCAUUCGUCGGAAUCCGGGCCCACCAUCGCUUCUCCACAGCUCAUAGGUUCAUUGUUGUCUAGGAACAUGACUUCUAAGACAGGAUCACGUACCACUCCGAAGUAGCACGCAUCCUCGUCAUCCUACGAGGUUUGGUAGUGACUUGAUCCGAAGUUUCAUGAUCACUAUCAUAAGCUUCCACUUCAAUUGGUGUAGGUGCCACAGGAACAACUUCCUGUGCCCUGCUACACACUAGUUGAAGUUAUGGUUCAAUAACCUCAUCAAGUUUCCACCAUCCUCCCACUCAAUUCUUUCGAGAGAAACUUUUCCUUGAGAAAGGAACUGUUUCUAGAAGCAAUUACUUUUGCUUCCAGAUCUGAAAUAGGAGGUAUACCCAACUGUUUUGGGUAUUCUAUGAAGAUGCAUUUAUCCGCUUUGAGUUCGAGCUUAUCAGCCUGAAACUUUUUCACAUAAGCAUCGCAGCCUCAAACUUUUAAGAAACGACAAUUUAGGUUUCUCUAAGCGGUGUCGUCUCAACGGAAUUGCGUGGUGCCCCUUUUAAAGUGAAUGCGGUUGUCUCUAAUGCCUAACCCAUAAACGAUAGUGGUAAUUCGAUAAGAGACAUCAUGGUAUGCACCAUAUCCAAUAGGGUGCAGUUAUGAUGUUCGGACACACCAUCACACUGUGGUGUUCCAGGUGGUAUUAAUUGUGAAACACUUUCCACAAUGUCUUAAUUGUGUGCCAAACUCGUAACUUAGAUAUCUCUAUGAUCAUAUCAUAGACAUUUUAUCCUCUUGUCACGACGAUCUUCAACUUCACUCUGAAAUUACUUGAACCUUUCAAUAAUUCAGACUUGUGUUUCAUCAAGUAAAUACACUCAGCAUCUACUCAAAUCAUCUGUGAAGUAAGAACAUAACGAUAUCCACUGCAUGCCUCAGCACUCAUUGGACUGCAUACAUCAAAAUGUAUUACUUCCAACAAGUUGCUCUCUUGUUCCAUCUUGCUGAAAACGAGGCCUUUCAGUCAUCUUGCCCAUGUGGUAUGAUUUGCAUGUCUCAAGUGAUUCAAAAUCAAGUGAGUCCAAACGAUCCAUCUGCAUGGAGUUUCUUCAUGCAUAUAUACCAAUAGACAUGGUUCGCAUGUCUCAAUCUUUUCAAAAAACGAGUGAGUCCAAAGAUCCAUCUACAUGGAGCUUCUUCAUGCGUUCUAUACCAAUAUGACUCAAAUGGCAGUGCCACAAGUAUGUGGUACUAUCAUUACUAUCUUAUAUCUUUUGGCACGAACAUGUGUAUCACUGCGAUCGAGAUUCAUUUUAGGUGCAAGACCAUUGAAUGUAUUAUUCAAAUAAACAGAGUAACCAUUAUUCUCCUUAAAUGAAUAACCGUAUUGCGAUAAACAUAAUCCAAUCAUGUUUAUGCUCAACGCAAACACCAAAUAACAAUUAUUUAGGUUCAACACCAAUCUCGAUGGUAGAGGGAGCAUGCGAUGCUUGAUCACAUCAACCUUGGAAACACUUCCAACACAUAUCGUCAUCUCACCUUUAGCUAGUCUCCGUUUAUUCCGCAGCUUUUAUUUCGAGUUACUAACACUUAGCAACCGAACCGGUAUCUAACACCCUGGUGCUGCUAGGAGUACUAGUAAAGUACACAUUCAUAUAAUGUAUAUCCAAUAUACUUCUGUCGACCUUGCCUGCCUUCUCAUCUACCAAGUAUCUAGGGUAGUUUUGCUUCAGUGACCGUUCCCCUCAUUACAGAAGCACUUAGUCUCGGGUUUGGGUUCAACCUUGGGAUUCUCCACUAGAGCAGCAAAUGAUUUGCUGUUUCAUGAAGUAUCCCUUUUGCCCUUGCCCUUCUGGAAACUAGUGGUUUUACUAACCAUCAACAAUUGAUGCUCCUACUUGAUUUCUACUUUCGCGGUGUCAAACAUCGCGAGUUGCUCAAGGAUCAUCAUGUUUAUCCCUGAUAUGUUAUAGUUCAUCACGAAGCUCUAAUAGCUUGGUGGCAGUGACUAUGGAGAACCAUCACUAUCUCAUCUGGAAGAUUAACUCCCACUCGAUUCAAGCGAUUGUGGCACUCAGACAAUCUGAGCACAUGCUCAACGAUUGAGCUUUUCUCCCUUAGUUUGCAGGCUUAAGAAACUUGUCAGAGGUCUCAUACCUCUUGACGUGGGCACCAGUCUGAAAUCCCAAUUUCAGUCUUUGGAACAUCUCAUAUGUUCUGCGACGUUUCAAAACGUCUUUGGUGCCACAAUUCUAAACCGUUAGCAUUACGCACUGAACUAUCACGUAGUCAUCAAAACGUGUAUGUUAGAUGUUUCGCAACAUCUACAGACGACGCUGAUGUUCAGCACACCGAGCGGUGCAUUAAGGAUAUAAGCCUUCUGUGCAGCAAUGAGGACAAUCCUCAGUUUACGGACCCAGUCCGCAUAAUUGGUACUAUCAACUUUCAACUAAAUUUUCUCUAGGAACAUAUCUUAAACAGUAGAACUAAAGCGCAAGCUAUGACAAAUUUGUAAAGACCUUUUGACUAUGUUCAUGAUAAUUAAGUUCAUCUGUUAAUGAACUUCCACUCAGAUAGACAUCCCUCUAGUCAUCUAAGUGAUACAUGAUCCGAGUCAAACUAGGCCGUGUCUGAUCAUCACGUGAGACGGACUAGUCAUCAUCGGUGAACAUCUCCAUGUUGAUCGUAUCUACUAUACGACUCAUGUUCGACCUUUCGGUCUCUUGUGUUCUGAGGCCAUGUCUGUACAUGCUAGGCUCGUCAAGUCAACCUAAGUGUUUCGCAUGUGUUCCGAGGCCAUGUCUGUACAUGCUAGGCUCGUCAACACCCGUUGUAUUCGAACGUUAGAAUCUAUCACACCCGAUCAUCACGUGGUGCUUCGAAACAACGAACCUUCGCAACGGUGCAUAGUUAGGGGGAACACGUCUCUUGAAAUUUUAGUGAGGGAUCAUCUUAUUUAUGCUACCGUCGUUCUAAGCAAAUAAGAUGUAAACAUGACAAACAUCACAUGCAAAUCAUAAAGUGACGUGAUAUGGCCAAUAUCAUCCUGCGCCUUUGAUCUCCAUCUUCGAGGCGCGGCAUGAUCACCUUCGUCACCGGCAUGACACCAUGAUCUCCAUCAUCACGAUCUCCAUCAUUGUGUCUUCAUGAAGUUGUCUCACCAACUAUUACUUCUACUACUAUGGCUAACGGUUAGCAAUAAAGUAAAGUAAUUACAUGGCGUUUUCACUGACACGCAGGUCAUACAAUAAAUUAAGACAACUUCUAUGGCUCCUGCCGGUUGUCAUACUCAUCGACAUGCAAGUCGUGAUUCCUAUUACAAGAACAUGAUCAAUCUCAUACAUCACAUAUAUCAUUCAUCACAUCCUUUUGGCCAUAUCACAUCACAUAGCAUACCCUGCAAAAACAAGUUAGACGUCCUCUAAUUGUUGUUGCAUGUUUUACGUGGCUGCUAUGGGAUUCUAGCAAGAACGUUUCUUACCUACGCAAAAGCCACAACGUGAUAUGCCAAUUUCUAUUUACCCUUCAUAAGGACCCUUUUCAUCGAAUCCGAUCCGACUAAAGUGGGAGAGACAGACACCCGCUAGCCACCUUAUGCAACUAGUGCAUAUCAGUCGGUGGAACCUGUCUCACGUAAGUGUACGUGUAAGGUCGGUCCGGGCCGCUUCAUCCCACGAUGCCGCCGAAUCAAGAUAAGACUAGUAACGGCAAGUAAAUUGACAAAAUCGACGCCCACAACUACUUUGUGUUCUACUCGUGCAUAGAAACUUCGCAUAGACCUAGCUCAUGAUGCCACUGUUGGGGAACGUAGCAGAAAUUCAAAAUUUUCUACGCAUCACCAAGAUCAAUCUAUGGAGUUUACUAGCAACGAGAGGGAAGGAGUGCAUCUACAUACCCUUGUAGAUCGCGAGCGGAAGCGUUCAAGAGAACGGGGUUGAUGGAGUCGUACUCGUCGUGAUCCAAAUCACCAAUGAUCCUAGCGCCGAACGGACGGCACCUCCGCGUUCAACACACGUACGGAGCAGCGACGUCUCCUCCUUCUUGAUCCAGCAAGGGGGAGGAGAGGUUGAUGGAGAUCCAGCAGCACGACGGCGUGGUGGUGGAAGUAGCGGGGAUCCCGGCAGGGCUUCGCCAAGCACUAACGGGAGGGAGAGGUGUCACGGGAGGGAGAGGGAGGCGCCAGGGGCUAGGGUGCUGCUGCCCUCCCUCCCCCCACUAUAUAUUGGCCCCCUGGGGGGGCGCCGGCCCUGGAGAUCCCAUCUACAAGGGGGGGGGGGCGGCGGCCAAGGGGGGAAACUUGCCCCCCAAGCCAGGUGGGGCGCCCCCCACCCCCAGGGUUUCCAACCCUAGGCGCAGGGGGAGGCCCAUGGGGGGGCGCACCAGCCCACCAGGGGCUGGUUCCCCUCCCACUUCAGCCCAUGGGGUCCUUCCGGGAUAGGUGGCCCCACCCGGUGGACCCCCGGGACCCUUCCGGUGGUCCCGGUACAAUACCGAUAACCCCCGAAACUUUCCCGGUGGCCGAAACUGGACUUCCUAUAUAUAAUUCUUCACCUCCGGAUCAUUCCGGAACUCCUCGUGACGUCCGGGAUCUCAUCCGGGACUCCGAACAACUUUCGGGUUACCGCAUACUAAUAUCUCUACAACCCUAGCGUCACCGAUCCUUAAGUGUGUAGACCCUACGGGUUUGGGAGACACGCAGACAUGACCGAGACGACUCUCCGGUCAAUAACCAACAACGGGAUCUGGAUACCCAUGUUGGCUCCCACAUGGUCCUCGAUGAUCUCAUCGGAUGAACCACGAUGUCGGGGAUUCAAUCAAUCCCGUAUACAAUUCCCUUUGUCUAUCGGUAUGUUACUUGCCCGAGAUUCGAUCGUCGGUAUCCCGAUACCUUGUUCAAUCUCGUUACCGGCUAGUCUCUUUACUCGUUCCGUAACACAUCAUCCCGUGAUCAACUCCUUGGUCACAUUGUGCACAUAAUGAUGAUGUCCUACCGAGUGGGCCCAGAGAUACCUCUCCGUUUACACGGAGUGACAAAUCCCAGUCUCGAUUCGUGCCAACCCAACAGACACUUUCGGAGAUACCUGUAGUGCACCUUUAUAGCCACCCAGUUACGUUGUGAUGUUUGGUACACCCAAAGCAUUCCUACGGUAUCCGGGAGUUGCACAAUCUCAUGGUCUAAGGAAAUGAUACUUGACAUUAGAAAAGCUCUUAGCAAACGAACUACACGAUCUUGUGCUAGGCUUAGGAUUGGGUCUUGUCCAUCACAUCAUUCUCCUAAUGAUGUGAUCCCGUUAUCAACGACAUCCAAUGUCCAUGGUCAGGAAACCGUAACCAUCUAUUGAUCAACGAGCUAGUCAACUAGAGGCUUACUAGGGACAUGGUGUUGUCUAUGUAUCCACACAUGUAUCUGAGUUUCCUAUCAAUACAAUUCUAGCAUGGAUAAUAAAUGAUUAUCAUGAACAAGGAAAUAUAAUAAUAACCAAUUUAUUAUUGCCUCUAGGGCACAUUUCCAACAUUAUUUUCUUGGAUUUCCUCUUCAGCCAGAUUCAUAAGCAGCGGUCUGUGGUCUGACUUGUAGUAUUCCAAGUGCUCUAGAGUAGCAUUCGGAAAUUUCAAACUCCAUGCCUAGGUGUUUAGGGCUCGGUCUAGUCGCUCUCUGAUAAGGCCUCUAUGCCAUGUAAAUUUAUCGCCCAAAUAGACAUGAUCAACCAACUGACAGUCCUCCAAAGCAUCCCUAAAAGCUUGCAUAAAAUGAAUUUGUCGGUCGUUCCCACCCUCCUUUUCAAAAGAGUACAGAAUCUCAUUUAGAUCUCCCAUAACCAGCCAUGGAACAUCACAUACCUCCUUUAAUUCUCUCAAUCUUUUCCAUGUCAAGUGCUUGUCUUUCCACUUAGGUUCCCCAUACAAACCAGUUAAUCUCCUGAAGUUAUCUUGACCACUGCCCACGAACACAUCAAUAAAAUUAUCCUUUUUAUCUCGCAACGUGAGUGGCACUUCCUUCUUCCAAUACAGAAUCAGUCCUCCACUUUUACCAUCGCUACAAACUACAAUCUUGUGGUCCAUCUUAAGACAUCUCCAGAGACACUCCGCCGAAAAUUCAUCAAGAUGGGUCUCCAUGAGAGACAUUAAAUCCAGACUCCUUCGCUUCUGAACAGCCAGAAGCGCUCGUAUUGCCACAGCUUGCUGCAAACCACGGAAAUUCCAACUUAAAAUUUUCAUUGAACCCGGUCCUCCUCCAAGAAGCCGGCCCCUUCCAGAACAAGUUGAUUUAGCAGACGAAAAAAUCUACCGUAAUCAGAAAGAUACGGAGGGACGGAAAACCGAUCACAACACUUGCAAGGCAACAGAGUUGAGCCGGGACAGAAUACCGGCUUCGCGAGACGUGCGCCGGGACAGACAAUCAGCUUCACGAGACUAUGCAAGUGACCGAUCCUUCAAAACCAGCCAUGUAGCAGACCAGAAGAGCAAACAACCAGUUCAAACUAGCUCUUCUUCUCUCAUGAGGCCUCACGUUCGCAGUCAAAAGGGGCCCAUAGCCCCGCGAGGUCAGAUGACGGGCAGAUGGCCGGGCAAGUGGCACGCGAGGGUAGUCGCCAGGUAUCGCUACAACUUCAAGGUAGACGUCGGGCUGGCCGCCGCCGCCGGCGGCUUCAGUCAAGCCCUAGAUCGCCUGCUAAUCGCCUUCCAAGAGGAAAAAAACUCUUGACCGGCGCUACAAGCCGGCCCCUUCUCUCUUCCUCACCUUAUUUCUAAAGGUAGUAUAGUUGUCCCUUCAAGAGGCAAAUUAGGUGGUCUUUGUGGACGGAUCAAGUUCAUUAUGCCGACUUCCAUGUGAUUAUCGCCUUUUUAGUAUACCUAAUCACUAGUGUAGCUUUUUGUUUUGAACGUAUUUAUGGUGACCAAUACCAACCUGACACUAGCCAAAUUUGGGAUCGUAUUGCCUCUUUUGGGUAUGAUAAUCAAGGAAAUUUUACAUUAUGUAUAGGUAGUCUCAAUGAUUUGCUCUACGAUGUUGAUAAAAGUCCUGCCAAUGUAAAUAAAUAUCAUAUGUGUUGUAGAGCAAAAGCAAAACGGACAAACGAAGAGUCCAAAUGAAUCACUAGUUUCAUUGCAAUGUGGAAGACCCACUUAUAUACAUGAUGAGGGGGUGUGUUGGGGAGACACCUUUUCAACAUACACUUCCUAGGAGGCAUCCAUCCCAUACAAUUGAUCACAUAUUUUAUUUUUCAACACUCUCCCUUGAUCAAUUCGGCAUCUGUAUAUUGCAAACUAAAAACUCCUCCAAAAACCCUGUGGCUAAAAUUAAGGAGAAACAUUAUAAAAAUAUGCAAUCGAAAACUCCUUUAAAACCCAUUGGGAAAAAUAUAAGGAUAAACCAAUAUGGAAUAUAUCCACACUUGUAUUUAUAUUGUCUCGUUAAAACCCUUAUAUGAGAAACCAUCAUGAAAAACUCAUAAAGGAAAAAAGAGUAUAAUAUGAAUGAUCUGAAGAUCACCAACGGGUAUAACUUGGGAUUUUACUCCCCCUAAACUUUGCAAAUCUCAAUGUUGUCUCGUACCAAUUCUGUGAACCUAAUUCUGGAAUAUAAAUGUUGGUAGAGAUAUUGUGAAUAUCCCAAUAAUUUGUUUGCAGAUUGUCCUCUGACAAGUGACAUUAUCUUGGUAGAUAACGAUAGUUUAUCCCAACGAAUCUCCCCAUAAUCUCACAUGUGGCCAGUCAUUCUGUGAAGCCAUACACAUCUUGUGAUGCUUCAAAUAAAAUAAUUACAACAAAAUGAUCACUAGAAGGACCCCAUUUAGAGUCUAUUCUGAAGGCUUCCCUCAUAAUACUCUUCAACUAAAUCCGAUCUUUGAUAUGGCACUAUUGGGAUCAAAUUAUUAGCCACUAUCAGGAUAUAACACCAUGGUCCCAUCUUGAUUUUCCCACUUGAUGAUGAAAACACUAAUUUUUCCAUUCCAUGGCAACUCAGAGUUUCAGGAAGAACUACAUCACUUCCCUCAAUGAUGAUGGCAUCACAUACCAAAACCCUGAUCAUAAAGCUGCCAUCAUCUAGCAAUCGUACAAGGACAGACUAGGCAAAUCCAUAAACCCUACUAUACUUUUCAACCUUUUUGAACUCAUCCAGUCUCAAGAUCUAUCUGAGUUAGAUGUAGCAUUCUCCAUUGAUCAAAUUGAGACAGUUGCUAAAGAUUUCCCUGCCGACAGAGCACCAGGGCCUGACGGUUUCAAUGGAUUAUUCUUGAGAAAAUGUUGGGAUUUUAUUAAACAGGAUUUCUACACUACGAUGUGGGAUUUCUUUGAGGGCAAUUGUGACAUUCAAAGCAUCAAUACUGCAUUUAUCACUCUCAUUCCUAAAGUUGUUGAUCUUGAGACCAUGAAUGAUUUUCGGCCUAUAUCCUUAGUUAGUUUACCUCUAAAUUUUUCACCAAGUUAAUGGCUAACGAAGUUCAAAAGAUUAUCACCUUUAUUAUUCAUCAGAACCAAUAUGGGUUCAUUAAAGGUAGAAACAUUCAAGACAGCCUGGGCUAUACUUUUGAAUAUCUUCACCUUUGCCAUCAGUCCAAGAAGCCUAUCAUCAUUCUCAAGCUUGACUUGGAAAAGGCUUUUGACAAAAUUGAAUAUAAGGCUAUUAUUGCUAUGCUUAAGGCUAAAGGUUUUGGCCCUAGAUGGAUUAAUUGGGUGUCCAACAUACUAAACUCUGCUUCCACUUCUGUUCUACUUAAUAAAGUUGCAGGCAAAAACAUUAUGUGCAAAAGAGGUGUUAGACAAGGAGACCCUUACUCCCCUCUUCUCUUUGUUAUUGCUGCUGACUUACUUUAGUCUGUUAUCAGUGUUGCAUGGGAAAAUGAUGAAAUUUCACUCCCAAUAAACCAUGCUUAUGGCCAGGAUUACCCAAUUAUUCAAUAUGCUGAUGACACAUUAAUGAUCAUGCCAGCAAAUGAAGAUCAACUUAUUCAUCUCAAAUACUUUCUCCAUUUAUUUAGCCUAUCCACUGGUCUCUUUGUGAAUUACAACAAGUCAUCCAUGGUUCCUAUUAACAUUGAUCUGCAAACAGUUUCUAAUCUGGCCAACAUAUUUGGAUGCAAAGUUGAGAUUCUGCCAUUUACUUACCUGGGACUUCCUCUGGGUACAACUAAGCCCACUGUCCAAGAUCUUAUUCCAGUGAUUACAAAGAUAGACAGAAGACUAUCUAGGGUAGCUAGAUUUAUGAACCACUCUGGUAGGCUCACAUACAUUAACUUAGUGGUUGCUUCCAUGCCUAUAUUUUCUAUGUGCUCUCUAAAGGUGCACUACACCAGUCUGGAUCAUGUUGACAAGUCCAGCAGAAAUUUCUUAUGGUAUGGUAAUGAUAUCAACAAAAGGGGGAAAUGCCUUGCCAGUUGGGAUAUGAUCUGCAAACCUAAAAAUCAAGGAGGGCUUGGAGUGCUUAAUCUCAGAACUCAAAACAAAGCUCUUCUUAUUAAACAUCUCUAUAAGUUCUAUAAUCAGGCUGAUAUACCCUGGGUAAAAUUACUUUGGAAGGCAUAUUACCAAAAUAAUGAGGUCCCCCAUGCUUGCAACAACAAGGGUUCUUUCUGGUGGAAGGAUUACAUCAAGCUAUUUGAUUUGUUCAAGACAAUGAGAACCUGCCAUGUCAAUUCUGGAAACUCUGCUUUGCUUUGGGAGGUUAAUUGGAAUGGGUCCAUUUUGAAACUAAAGAUCCCUGAACUACAUUCUUUUACACACCAGGAAAACAUCUCAAUACUUGCAGCCAAGAUAAUUGACAACACAUAUAACCUUUUCCAGCUGCCACUAUCCAUUGUUGCUCAUCAGCAAUUUCAUUUACUUUCUGAUCAACUAAAUUCUAUCAGGCAAAAUAAUGACCAUGACAGAUGCAUAUUCAACUGGGGAAGCUCUGCCAAUAUGACCAAGAAGAUUUAUAACUUCCUUAUGGGCAAUUCUAAAGCAGCCUCCCUAAUCAAAUGGAUAUGGAAAUCCUGUUGUCUCCCUAAGCAUAAUUUUUCUGGUGGUUAAUGCUCAAUGACAGAAUAAACACAUGUGAUCUUCUUACCAGGAAAAGUUUUCAUCUUGACUCCACAUCAUGUGUUCUAUGUAAUGAUGAGGGCAUGGAAGACAUAACACAUCUUUUAUUCUCUUGCCCUUUUAGUCAUGGAUUCUGGUGGAAUAUUGGCGUUGAAUGGAACACAGAUAACAACAUCCAUGACAUGAUCAUUGAAGCAAAACAGAGAUAUCAACAUAGUGUUUUCAUGGAAAUUAUGACUGUGGGUUGCUGGAGUAUCUGGAAUCAAAGGAAUGGUCUGAUUUUUUAGGGUAUACCAUGCUCCAUAACUGAAUGCAGAUAUGACCUCAUCAGAACUUUCAAGUUGACAAUGCUUAGAGCGAAACCAAGUCUUAAGUAUGGCAUGUCAUCCUGGAUAGACAAUAUUUGAUUUCUUUAUUUAUGUAUUUAGUUCCUCGUUGUAAUCUCUAGCCUUCCUUGGUUGUGCCCCCAUCAACCAUUGUAACAUACUUUUUACCCUUUUUAUUAAUGAAAAAUGACAAACAAUAGGGUUCUUUGCCCAACUGUAUUAUGGUCAAAAAAGUCUUGAUUUUCCCCAUGGAAUUAAUCAAGACCCUUUGUGUCUUGGACAUUGAUGACCCACAAGUGUAGGGAUCUAUCGUAGUCCUUUCGAUAAGUAAGAGUGUCGAACCCAACGAGGAGCAGAAGGAAAUGACAAGCGGUUUUCAGUAAGGUAUUCUCUGCAAGCACUGAAAUUAUCGGUAACAGAUAGUUUUGUGAUAAGGUAAUUUGUAACGGGUAAGAAGUAAUGAAAGUAAAUAAGGUGCAGCAAGAUGGACCAAUCCUUUUUGUAGCAAAGGACAAGCCUGGACAAACUCUUAUAUAGAGAAAAGCGCUCCCGAGGACACAUGGGAAUUAUCGUCAAGCUAGUUUUCAUCACGCUCAUAUGAUUCGCGUUCGGUACUUUGAUAAUUUGAUAUGUGGGUGGACCGGUGCUUGGGUGCUGUCCUUACUUGGACAAGCAUCCCACUUAUGAUUAACCCCUAUUGCAAGCAUCCGCAACUACAAAAGAAGUAUUAAGGUAAACCUAACCAUAGCAUGAAACAUAUGGAUCCAAAUCAGCCCCUUACGAAGCAACGCAUAAACUAGGGUUUAAGCUUCUGUCACUCUAGCAACCCAUCAUCUACUUAUUACUUCCCAAUGCCUUCCUCUAGGCCCAAACAAUGGUGAAGUGUCAUGUAGUCGACGUUCACAUAACACCACUAGAGGAGAGACAACAUACAUCUCAUCAAAAUAUCGAACGAAUACCAAAUUCACAUGACUACUUAUAGCAAGACUUCUCCCAUGUCCUCGGGAACAAACGUAACUACUCACAAAGCAUAUUCAUGUUCAUAAUCAGAGGGGUAUUAAUAUGCAUAUAGGAUCUGAACAUAUGAUCUUCCACCAAAUAAACCAACUAGCAUCAACUACAAGGAGUAAUCAACACUACUAGCAACCCAGAGGUACCAAUCUGAGGCUUUGGGACAAAGAUUGGAUACAAGAGAUGAACUAGGGUUUUAGAGGAGAUGGUGCUGGUGAAGAUGUUGAUGGAUAUUGGCUCUCUCCUGAUGAGAGGAUCGUUGGUGAUGACGAUGACGAUGAUUUCCCCCUCCCGGAGGGAUGUUUCCCCAGCAGAACAGCUCUGCCGGAGCCCUAGAUUGGUUCCGCCAAGGUUCCGCCUCAUGGCGGCGGAGUUUCUUCCCGAAAUCUUGCUUAUGAUUUUUUCUCGGACGAAAGACUUCAUAUAGCAGAAGAUGGACACCGGAGGCCUGCCAGGGGGCCCACGAGGCAGGGGGCGCGCCCUCCACCCUCGUGGCCAGGGUGUAGGCCCCCUCUGGUAUUUUCUUCGCUCAGUAUUUUUUUUAUUUCCAAAAAUGACUUCCGUGGAGUUUCAGGACUUUUGGAGUUGUGCAGAAUAGGUCUCCAAUAUUUGCUCAUUUUCCAGCCCAGAAUUCCAGCUGUCGGCAUUCCCCCUCUUCAUGUAAACCUUGUAAAAUAAGAGCGAAUAGGCAUAAGUAUUGUGACAUAACGUGUAAUAACAGCCCAUAAUGCAAUAAGUAUCGAUAUAAAAGCAUGAUGCAAAAUGGACGUAUCAACUCCCCCAAGCUUAGACCUCGCUUGUCCUCGAGCGGAAGCUGAUAACGAUAAAUAUGUCCACAUGUUUAGAGAUAGAGGUGUCGAUAAAAUAAAAUACGGACAUGAGGGCAUCAUGAUCAUUCUUAUAACAGCAACAUAUAUGGAUAUUGUCAUAUGAUUUCUUAUGCUCAAGUAAUAAUCUAUUCACAAUGCAAAGUAUGAAUCAGAAACUUCAUUGAGAGCCAACAAUCUAUAAUCUCAGUCAUUGAAGCAAUUGCAAUUUAUCAUAACAUCGGAAAGAGUCAAUAUAAGAGCUUUUCAGCAAGUCCACAUACUCAACUAUCAUUUAGCCUUUCACAAUUGCUAACACACACGCAAUACUUGUGGUUAUGGAGUUUUAAUCGGACACAGAGAAAGAUAGGGCUUAAGUUUCGCCUCCCAACCUUUUACCUCAAGGGUAACGUCAACAAUAAUAGUUCAUGCCAACUUACAUCCAAUUGGAUAUAUAUAUCAGGAUCUUUCCAACACAAUGUGCUUGCCAAAGGAUAAAAUGUAAAAAGGAAAGGUGAAGAUCACCAUGACUCUUGCAUAAGGGUAGAAGAUAAAAGUAAAAGAUAGGCCCUUCGCAGAGGGACGCAGAGGUUGUCAUGCGCUUUCAUGGUUGGAUGAUCGAAAUCUUAAUGCAAAAGAACGUCACUUUAUAUUGCCACUUGUGAUAUGGACCUUUAUUAUGCAGUCCGUCGCUUUUAUUUCUUCCACAUCACAAGAUCGUAUAAAGCUUAUUUUCUCCACACUAAUAAAUCAUACAUAUUUAGAGAGCAAUUUUUAUUGCUUGCACCGAUGACAACUUACUUGAAGGAUCUUACUCAAUCCAUAGGUAGAUAUGGUGGACUCUCAUGGCAAAACUGGGUUUUAAGGAUAUUCGGAAGCACAAGUAGUAUCUCUACUUGGUGCAAAGAAUCGGCUAGCAUGAGGGAGAAAGGCAAGCUCAACAUGUUGGAUGAUCCAUUGCAAUAUACUUUAUUUCAGAUAUAAGAAAACAUAACCCAUUACGUUGUCUUCCUUGUCCAAUAUCAACUCUUUAGCAUGUCAUAUUUUAAUGAGUGCUCACAAUCAUAAAAGAUGUCCAAGAUAGUGUGUUAUAUGUGAAAACCUCUCUUUCCUUAUUACUUCCUAUUAAUUGCAACGAUGACCAAAACUAUGUUUGCCAACUCUCAACAACUUUUAUCCAUCAUACUCUUUAUAUGUGAAGUCAUUACUCUUCAUAAGAUCAAUAUGAUCUCUUUGUUUCUUUUUAUUCUUUCUUUUUCUUUUAUUCACUCAAGAUCAAAGCAUAGUAAUCAAGCCCUUGACUCAACACUAAUCUUUAUUAUAUUGCUCACGGACUCGAUUACAUAGAGGGAUCAUAAGGCAAAACUCAAAACUAAAUCAUACUAAAACUUUAUUCUACUAGAUCAAGAUAUUACUAAAAGGAUCGAACUAAGAAAAACGGUAAAGGUAGGAGUGUGAUGGUGAUACGAUACCGGGGCACCUCCCCCAAGCUUAGCAGUUGCCAAGGGGAGUGCCCAUACCCAUGUGAUCAUGUCUCUUUCUUCGGAGGUGGAGAAGAUGGAGUUGUUGAUGAGGUAGGCUUCUUCCUUAACUUGCGCUUGAGGAUGGAAUUUUGCCCCCUUAGGUCCUCGAUCUCCCACUCAAGACUUAAUAUCUUUUUGCACAAUUCCUGUUUGUUUUCCUGCAAGAGGCGAAAAGGGAUAAACUCGAUCUUAGGUUUCUUUGCUCUAUCAGGGAGGCUUGACUUUUUAAACUCCACAUGCAUGUCCACGGGUUGAGGUAACGGGACUUCAUCUUCAUCUGAGCUCGUCUCUCCCUUUCCUUUAGGCUCAUAGUCUUCUUCUUCCUCCGUGGUCCAACCACAAUGCUCCAAAUCCCCGUAGACCUUAGGGUCUGCAAGGUAAUCAGCCACAUAGCUUUCUCCAUCCGAAUCCUGGGACGACAUACUGCUCUAAUAUGCGGCAGAAAUAACUCAAAACGAAAAACAGAGGAUAUUUGCGUGAUACGGUGGUCAAAACCUUCGGGAGAUUAUAUAAUGAAUUUUUACCGACUAAAAGAAGUAUCGUGCAAGAAAACGGAGUCCGGAGAGCGCAUGAGGUGCCCACGAGGCAGGGGGCGUGCCCAGGGGGGUAGGGCGCGCCCUCCACCCUCGUGGAAGCCUCGUGUCCUUCCCGGACUGCUUCUUAUUUUCCUAUUUUCUUAAAUAUUCCAAAACGGAGAAAAAUUGCCAUUAGAACUAUUUUGGAGUCGGUUUACUUACCGUACCACAUACCUAUUCCUUUUCGGAGUCUAAAACGUUCUGGAAAGUGUCCCUUAUGUAUUCCUCCGGGGUUACGGUUUCAAUAAUGUUGGUUUCAACAUUUAUGGGAUUACCUGAGAUAUAAUGUUUGAUUCUUUGACCGUUCACCACCUUCGGAUUUGUGCCUUCGAAGUUGUUGAUUUUUAUGGCACCAGAACGAUAGACCUCCUCGAUAACGUAAGGACCUUCCCAUUUAGAGAUAAGUUUUCCUGCAAAAAAUCUUAAACGAGAGUUGUAUAACAAUACAUAAUCACCUAUAUUAAACUCACGCUUUUGUAUCCUUUUGUCAUGCCAUCUUUUAACCUUUUCCUUGAACAGUUUGGCAUUUUCAAAGGCUUGGGUUCUCCAUUCAUCAAGUGAGCUAAUGUCAAAUAACCUCUUCUCACCGGCAAGUUUGAAAUCAUAAUUGAGCUCUUUAAUGGCCCAAUAUGCCUUAUGUUCUAGUUUGAGAGGUAAGUGACAUGCUUUUCCAUAAACCAUCUUAUACGGAGACAUACCCAUAGGGUUUUUAUAUGCAGUUCUAUAGGCCCUAAUGCAUCAUCAAGUUUCUUAGACCAAUUCUUUCUAGAUCUAUUAACAGUCUUUUGCAAAAUUAAUUUGAGCUCUCUAUUACUCAAUUCUACUUGACCACUAGAUUGUGGGUGAUAAGGGGAUGCAAUUCUAUGAUUAACAUCAUACUUAGCAAGCAUUUUACGAAAAGCACCAUGAAUAAAAUGUGAACCACCAUCAUUCAUUAAAUAUCUAGGGACUCCAAACCUCGGAAAAAUAACUUCUUUAAGCAUCUUAAUAGAGGUGUUAUGAUCAGCACUACUAGUUGGAAUAGCUUCUACCCACUUAGUAACGUAAUCAACAGCAACUAAAAUAUGCGUAUACCCAUGGAAAGGGUCCCGUGUAAUCAAAGCCCCAAACAUCGAAUGGUUCAAUAACAAGUGAAUAAUUCAUAGGCAUUUCCUGACGUCUACUGAUAUUACCAAUUCUUUGACAUUCAUCACAAGACAAGACAAACUUACGAGCAUCCUUGAAGAGAGUAGGCCAAUAAAAACCGGAUUGCAAUACCUUAUGUGCAGUUCUAUCUCUAGCGUGGUGUCCUCCAUAAGCUUUGGAGUGACACUUGUGUAGGAUCUGUUUCUGUUCAUGCUCAGGUACACAAAGUCUAAUAACACCAUCUACUCCUUCUUUAUAAAGAUGUGGGUCAUCCCAAAAGUAAUGUCUCAAAUCAUAGAAAAACUUUUUCUUUUGCUGGUAUGUGAAACUAGGUGGUAUGAAUUUAGCGACAAUGUAAUUAGCAUAAUCAGCAUACCAUGGAGCAGUACGAGAAGCAUUUAUGAUAGCUAAUUGUUCAUCGGGAAAGGUAUCAUCAAUAGGUAGUGGGUCAUCAAGAACAUUCUCUAACCUAGACAAGUUGUCUGCAACGGGGUUUUCAGCUCCCUUUCUAUCAAUAAUAUGCAAAUCAAACUCUUGUAGCAAGAGAACCCAUCUAAUAAGUCUAUGUUUAGCAUCUUUCUUUUCCAUAAGGUAUUUAAUAGCAGCAUGAUCAGUGUGAAUAGUUACUUUAGAAUCAAAAAUAUAAGGUCUGAACUUAUCACAAGCAAAAACAACUGCUAAAAAUUCUUUUUCAGUAGUAGCAUAAUUUCUCUGGGCAUUGUCUAGGGUUUUACUAGCAUAUUGAAUAACAUUUAAUUUCUUAUCAACUCUUUGCCCUAGAAUAGCACCUACAACAUAAUCACUAGCAUCACACAUAAUUUCAAAGGGUAAAUUCCAAUCAGGUGGCUGAACAAUAGGUGCAGAAAUCAAUGCUUUCUUAAGUAUUUCAAAUGCUUCUACACAAUCAUCAUCAAAGACAAAAGGUAUAUCUUUUUGUAAUAGAUUAGUCAGAGGCCGAGAAAUUUUUGAGAAGUCCUUAAUGAACCUCCUAUAAAAACCGGCAUGACCAAGGAAACUUCUUAUACCUUUGAUGUCCUUGGGACACGGCAUCUUUUCAAUAGCAUCAACUUUAGCUUUAUCAACUUCAAUACCUCUUUCGGAAAUUUUAUGCCCCAAGACAAUACCUUCAUUAACCAUAAAGUGGCAUUUCUCCCAAUUCAAGAAAAGGUUAGUUUCUUCACAUCUCUGCAAAACUCGAUCAAGGUUGCUCAAGCAAUCAUCAAAAGAGGAUCCAUAAAUGGAGAAAUCAUCCAUCAAAACCUCACAAAUCUUUUCACAAAAGUCGGAGAAUAUGGCCAUCAUGCAUCUUUGAAAGGUAGCAGGUGCAUUACAUAAACCAAAAGGCAUACGUCUAUAAGCAAAAGUACCAAAAGGGCAAGUAAAAGUGGUCUUUGCUUGAUCAUCAGCCGACACAGGUAUUUGAGAGAAGCCAGAGUAACCAUCUAGAAAGCAAAAAUGUGUAUGUUUGGAUAAUCUUUCUAGCAUUUGAUCAAUGAAAGGCAAAGGGUAAUGAUCUUUUUUAGUAGCUUUAUUUAGUUUGCGGAAAUCAAUUACCAUCCUAUAACCUGUAAUAAUUCUUUGCGGGAUCAAUUCAUCUUUAUCAUUAGGAACGACAGUAAUACCUCCCUUCUUAGGGACACAAUGGACAUGACUUACCCGCUGACUAUCAGCAACGAGAUAAAUUAUACCUGCCUCAAGGAGCUUUAAUAUUUCCUUUCUUACCACUUCUUUCAUCUUAGGAUUCAGCCGUUGUUGGUGAUCAAUAACUGGUUUGGCAUCUUUCUCCAAAUUUAUUUUGUGUUGACAUAGAGUGGGACUAAUGCCCUUAAGAUCAUCAAGAGUAUAUCCAAUAGCAGUGCGGUGCUUCUUCAGAGUUUUCAAUAAUUUUUCUUCCUCCUUCUCUGAAAGGUUAGCACUAAUAAUAAUAGGAUAUAUCUUAUUUUCAUCAAGAUAAGCAUAUUUAAGAGUAUCAGGUAAUGGUUUAAGCUCAAACACGGGAUCGCCCUUGGGUGGAGGAGGAUCCCCUAGGAUUUCAACAGGCAAGUUGUGUUUCAGAAUAGGUCCCUGUUUAAAUAAUACUUCAUCUAUUCCCUUCUUUCGUUCAUAAACAUAUCAUUUUCAUGGUCUAGCAAAUAUUGUUCUAAAGGAUCAUUAGGAGGCACAGCAAUAGAAGCAAGACCAAUAAUUCAAUCCUUACUAGGCAAUUUCUCAUCACGGGGUUGUCUACGAAAUUUAGAAAAAUUAAACUCAUGAGACAUAUCAUCCAAACCAAUAGUAACAACAUCCUUUUCGCAGUCUAUCCUAGCAUUGACGGUAUUCAAGAAGGGUCUACCAAAUAUAAUGGGACAAAAGCUAUCUUGUGGGGAACCAAGAACAAGAAAAUCAGCAGGAUAUUUAACCUUCCCACACAAGACUUCAACAUCUCUAACAAUCCCAAUCGGUGAAAUAGUAUCUCUAUUGGCAAGCUUAAUGGUAACAUCAAUUUCUUCUAUCUCAGCAGGUGCAAUAUCAUGCAUAAUUUCUUUGUAUAAGGAAUGAGGUAUUGCACUUGCACUAGCACCCAUAUCACACAAGCCAUGAUAACAAUGAUCCCCUAUUUUAACAGAAAUAAUAGGCAUGCCUACCACAGGUCUAUGUUUAUCUUUAGCACCAGGUUUAGCAAUUCUAGCAGUCUCAUUACAGAAGUAAAUAACAUGCCCAUCAAUAUUAUCAGCCAAGAGACCUUUAACCAUAACAAUAUUAGGUUCAACUUUAACUUGCUCAGGGGGUUUGUGUGUCCUAAUAUUACUUUUGUUGACUACAGUUGAAGCUUUAGCAUGAUCCUUCAUUCUAACAGGGAAAGGUGGUUUCUUAACAUAAGCAGUAGGAACAAUAGGAUCAUUAUAAGUGAUAGUCUUUUCUUCAACUUUAAUAGGUGCAACUACUUUUACUUCAAUGGGAGGAUUAUAUUUAAACCACUUCUCCUUAGGGAGAUCAACAUGAGUAGCAAAAGAUUCACAGAAAGAAGCUACUAUCUUAGAGUCAAGUCCAUAUUUAGUGCUAAACUUACGGAAAACAUCAGUAUCCAUAAAAGAUUUAACACAAUCGAACUUAGGUGUUAUACCUGACUCUUUACCUUCGUCGAGGUCCCAAUCUUCAGAGUUGCGUUUAAUUCUUUCCAAUAAAUCCCAUUUGAAUUCAAUAGUCUUCAUCAUAAAGGAACCAGUACAAGAAGUAUCGAACAUGGAGCGAUUGUUGUCAGAAAGCCGAGCAUAAAUUUUUUGAAUAAUCAUUUCUCUUGAGAGCUCAUGAUUGGGGCAUGAAUAUAACAUUGACUUAAGCCUCCCCCAAGCUUGAGCGAUGCUUUCUCCUUGGCGAGGCCAAAAAUUAUAUAUAUAAUUACGAUCACGAUGAACAAGAUGCAUAGGAUAAAACUUCUGAUGAAAUUCCAAUUUCAAUCGUUUGUAGUUCCAUGAUCCCAUAUCAUCACAUAGCCUGUACCAUGUCAAUGCAUCUCCCUUCAAAGAUAAAGGGAAGACCUUCUUCUUGAUAACAUCAUCGGGCAUACCUGCAAGCUUAAAUAAUCCACAAACUUCAUCCACAUAGAUUAAGUGUAAAUCGGGAUGCAAUGUUCCAUCUCCUGUAAAAGGAUUAGCUAGCAGUUUUUCUAUCAUACCCGAAGGAAUUUCAAAGUUAACAUUUUCAGUAGGUUCAGUAGGUUGAGGAGCAACUAUUUGUUCUACUGGUCGGGGUGAAGAUACCCCAAACAAGUCCCUCAAAGGAUUACUUUCCAUAGUAGCAAGUGACAGUAAAUUUCAGCACACUGUAUAAAUUUUUCCUUACGAAAUUCCACUUACCAAAGGCGCUUCACUCCCCGGCAAUGACGCCAGAAAAGAGUCUGGCCCACAAGUGUAGGGGAUCUAUCGUAGUCCUUUCGAUAAGUAAGAGUGUCGAACCCAACGAGGAGCAGAAGGAAAUGACAAGCGGUUUUCAGUAAGGUAUUCUCUGCAAGCACUGAAAUUAUCGGUAACAAAUAGUUUUGUGAUAAGGUAAUUUGUAACGGAUAACAAGUAAUGAAAGUAAAUAAGGUGCAGCAAGAUGACCCAAUCCUUUUUGUAGCAAAGGACAAGCCUGGACAAACUCUUAUAUAGAGAAAAGCGCUCCCGAGGACACAUGGGAAUUAUCGUCAAGCUAGUUUUCAUCACGCUCAUAUGAUUCGCGUUCGGUACUUUGAUAAUUUGAUAUGUGGAUGGACCGGUGCUUGGGUGAUGUCCUUACUUGGACAAGCAUCUCACUUAUGAUUAACCCCUAUUUCAAGCAUCGGCAACUACAAAAGAAGUAUUAAGGUAAACCUAACCAUAGCAUGGAACAUAUGGAUCCAAAUCAGCCCCUUACGAAGCAACGCAUAAACUAGGGUUUAAGCUUCUGUCACUCUAGCAACCCAUCAUCCACUUAUUACUUCCCAAUGCCUUCCUCUAGGCCCAAACAAUGGUGAAGUGUCAUGUAGUCGACGUUCACAUAACACCACUAGAGGAGAGACAACAUACAUCUCAUCAAAAUAUCGAACGAAUACCAAAUUCACAUGACUACUUAUAGCAAGACUUCUCCCAUGUCCUCAGGAACAAACGUAACUACUCACAAAGCAUAUUCAUGUUCAUAAUCAGAGGGGUAUUAAUAUGCAUAUAGGAUCUGAACAUAUGAUCUUCCACCAAAUAAACCAACUAGCAUCAACUACAAGGAGUAAUCAACACUACUAGCAACCCACAGGUACCAAUCUGAGGCUUUGGGAGAAAGAUUGGAUACAAGAGAUGAACUAGGGUUUUAGAGGAGAUGGUGCUGGUGAAGAUGUUGAUGGAUAUUGGUCCUCUCCCGAUGAGAGGAUCGUUGGUGAUGACGAUGACGAUGAUUUCCCCCUCCCGGAGGGAAGUUUCCCCGGCAGAACAGCUCUACCGGAGCCCUAGAUUGGUUCCACCAAGGUUCCGCCUCGUGGAGGCGGAGUUUCUUCCCGAAAGCUUGCUUAUGAUUUUUUUCUCAGACGAAAGACUUCAUAUAGCAGAAGAUGGACACUGGAGGCCUGCCAGGGGGCCCACGAGGCAGGGGGCGCGCCCAGGGGGGUAGGGCGCACCCCCCACCCUCGUGGCCAGGGUGUGGGCCCCCUUUAGUAUUUUCUUUGCUCAGUAUUUUUUAUUAUUUCCAAAAAUGACUUCCGUGGAGUUUCAGGACUUUUGGAGUUGUGCAGAAUAGGUCUCCAAUAUUUGCUCCUUUUCUAGCCCAGAAUUCCAGCUGCCGGCAUUCCCCCUCUUCAUGUAAACCUUGUAAAAUAAGAGAGAAUAGGCAUAAGUAUUGUGACAUAACGUGUAAUAACAACCCAUAAUGCAAUAAAUAUCGGUAUAAAAGCAUGAUGCAAAAUGGACGUAUCAGACAUAUCUGAGGAUAUUCCUUACAUCAACCAUUAUACCUUUUCUUAGGGAUUGCACUCUCAAUAUAAUGCUGACAAAUAUAAUGUCAGGCGUGACGUAUUUUGCAAGAUAUAUGAGUCCUCCGAUGGUAUUUAAAUAUGGAACUUCAGGUCCAGUAUCACUUCACCAUCUCCCCUCAGUCUGAAUGGGCUUGUAUCCCAUGUCAGGAAUAAUAUGACCAUAAGUAUCUUUGAUAUAUCCAUAUUGAACUUUUAUGAUAUUUCUAGAUAUAUGAAGAAUGAUAUACAUUUAUUCCCGAGGGAAUAUGCUCAAGCUAUAAACUUACCAUCAUUUGGUUUGACCCAAAUAUUCGUCUUAAAAUGAUUGUGUGUAUCUCAUAUGUCUUGUAUACACAUUGAUGAUAAGAUCAUCCAUCACUAAAAUGAUGUGAAUCCUUAUCAAAGAGUAACUCAUCAGUAUUAGAGUAAUCCUUAUCAAGGAGUAACUCACUUAGUCGGUUGUAUCACACUGUUGGGGAACGUAGUAAUUUCAAAAAAAUUCCUACGCACACGCAAGAUCAUGGUGAUGCAUAGCAACGAGAGGGGAGAGUAUGUCUAGUACCCUCGUAGACCGUAAGCGGAAGCGUUUAUCAACGCCAUUGAUGUAGUUGAUAUGUCUCCGUCGUAUCUAUAAUUUUUUAUUGUUCCAUGCCAAUAUUCUACAACUUUCAUAUACUUUUUGGCAACUUUUUAUACUAUUUUUGGGACUAACAUAUUGAUCCAGUGCCCAGUGCUAGUUCCUGUCUGUUGCAUGUUUUAUGUUUCGCAUAAUAUCCAUAUCAAACGGAAUCCAAACGGGAUAAAAACGGACGGAGAUUAUUUUUUGAAUAUUUGGAAAAUUCCGGAAGAAAAAUCCACGCGAGACGGUGCCCGAGGUGGCCACGAGGCAGGGGGCGCGCCUGCCCCCUGGGCGCGCCCCUGACCCUCGUGGGCCACCCGUAAGGCGGUUGAUGCCCUUCUUCGGCCGCAAGUAAGCUAAUUUUUGGUAAAAAAUCACGGCGAAGGUUUCAGUCCAAUCGAAGUUACGGAUCUCCAUAUAUAUACGAAACGGUGAAAGGGCAGCAAGGGAGAACGCAGAAACAGAGAGAGACAGAGAGACAGAUCCAAUCUCGGAGGGGCUCUCGCCCCUCCCAUGCCAUGGAGGCCAAGGACCAGAGGGGAAACCCUUCUCCCAUCUAGGGAGGAGGUCAAGGAAGAAGAAGAAGAAGGGGGCCUCUCUCCCCCUCGCUUCCGGUGGCGCCGGAACGCUGCCGUGGCCACCAUCAUCAUCACCGCGAUCUUCACCAACACCUCCGCCAUCUUCACCAACAUCUCCAUCACCUUCCCCCCUCUAUCUACAGCGAUCCACUCUCCCGCAACCCGCUGUACCCUCUACUUGAACAUGGUGCUUUAUGCUUCAUAUUAUUAUCCAAUGAUGUGUUGCCAUCCUAUGAUGUCUGAGUAGAUUUUCGUUGUCCUAUCGGUGGUUGAUGAAUUGCUAUGAUUGAUUUAAUUUGCUUGUGGUUAUGUUGUUGUCCUUUGGUGCCCAUCAUAUGAGCGCGCGCGUGGAUCACACCAUAGGGUUAGUUGUAUGUUGAUAGGACUAUGUAUUGGAGGGCAAGAGUGACAGAAGCUUCAACCUAGCAUAGAAAUUGAUGCAUACGGGAUUGAAGGGGGACCAAUAUAACUUAAUGCUAUGGUUGGGUUUUACCUUAAUGAACGUUAGUAGUUGCGGAUGCUUGCUAAUAGUUCCAAUCAUAAGUGCAUAGAAUUCCAAGUAAGGGAUGGCAUGCUAGCAGUGGCCUCUCCCACAUGAAACUUGCUAUCGGUCUAGUAAAGUAGUCAAUUGCUUAGGGACAAUUUCGCAACUCCUACCACCACUUUUCCACACUCGCUAUAUUUACUUUAGUUGUGUCUUUACUUUAACAACCCCUAGUUUUUAUUUACGUGCUCUUUAUAUUCUUGCAAACCUAUCCAAAAACACCUACAAAGUACUUCUAGUUUCAUACUUGUUUUAGGUAAAGCGAACGUCAAGCGUGCGUAGACUUGUAUCGGUGGUCGAUAGAACUUGAGGGAAUAUUUGUUCUACCUUUAGCUCCUCGUUGGGUUCGACACUCUUACUUAUCGAAAGAGGCUACAAUUGAUCCCCUAUACUUGUGGGUUAUCAAGACCUUUUUCUGGCGCCGUUGCCGGGGAGCAAUAGCGUGGGGUGAAUAUUCUCGUGUGUGCUUGUUUGCUUUAUCACUAAGUAAUUUUUAAUUGCUGUUCUUAGUUGUUUUCUAUCUUUAGUUAUGGGUAGGAAACGCGAAAUACCAAAAAAAUUAGUUGUACCUACUGAACCAAUGGUUGAAGAACCACUCAAAAUCUAUCACACUCCUGAAGCUUUUUACUUGGAUCAUCUUCGAUCCCUUUGUGCUCGUGCUGAAACCCCAACUAGCUUAGUUGAGGGCAAAUAAUUAGAUGAGCAUGCUUGUUAUGCGCAACACCAAAUAUCUGAAAAAGGGAAAAUUCUAUUGGGUCAAAUUCAUCGUUUGCAAUGCUAUGCUUGGAAUUUAUGUGAAAUAUAUGAUUUUACUUGUUGUUCUGAAAACACUAAGAAACACCUUCCCUACCAAUGUGAGUUUAUUGAUAAUGGAAUCUUAUCUUCGUAUGCUAAAGGUGUUUAUAGUUACUAUGAUGUUCAACAAAUUGAAGAAUUUGUUGCUUUUAAGGGUGCUUACGAAAUUGCUUCUUUAAUUGAAAAGUAUGAUGCUACUCUUCACAAGUCUGAAAAUUUUGCCAUACUUAAAUAUUGCUAUGAUAAUUAUGCUUCUAAUGCCCAUGUUGAACCAUAUAUUGAGGACCACUCCGCUGUCCAAGAAGAGAUUAAUAUUUUGCAGGAGUCUAUGGAAAAAGAAAUUGAUGAAACUGUGAGCUCAUUGGAUGAAAAAGAUGAUGAGGAGAGCGAAGAACAAAAGGAGGAAGAGCGGAUUAGCUACCCGUGCCCACCUUCUAAUGAGAGUAACUCUUCAACUCAUACAUUGUUUAAUUUCCCUUCGUGCUUACCGAAGGAUGAUUGUUAUGAUCCCGUUGAUUCUCUUGAAAUAUCCCUUUUUGAUGAACUUGAUGCUUGCCAUUCUUGUGGCCAAGAUGCCAAUAUGAAUGAUGCUUAUGGAGAUGAACUUGCUAUAGUUCCUUAUGUUAAACAUGAAAUUGUUGCUAUUGCACCCACGCAUGUUAGUCCUAUUAUCUUUUUGAAUUCUCCCGAAUACACUAUAUCGAGAAAUUUUCCCUUAUUAAGGAUUAUAUUGAUGGGUUGCCUCUUACUACUACACAUGAUGUUUUUAAUAGAUAUAAUAUGCAUGUGCUUGCUGCUCCUACUUGCAAUUAUUAUGAGAGAGGGACCAUAUCUCCACCUCUCUAUGUUUCCAACGCGAUAAAAUUGCAAGAAACUGUUUAUACUAGGCAUUGGCCUUUACUUUGUGUGCAUGAAUUGUUCUUUUAUGACAUGCCGAUGCAUAGGAAGAGAGUUAGACUUCGUUGUUUCAUGAUAUAUGUUACUUCGUGCUCACUACUAAAUGCCAAAUCAUUGCUAAUUAAAAUUGGCUUUGAUAUACCUUGGGAUCCGGGUGGAUUCAUUACUUGAGCACUAAAUGCCUAGCUUAAUGGCUUUAAAGAAAGCGCUGCCAGGGAGACAACCCGGAAGUUUUAGAGAAUCAUUUAUUUCUGUUGUGUGAUUUUAUAAAGUUUAGAAAUAAAAAUAAUGUGCCAAGGUUUGCCUUUAGGAUGUUUACAAUGCUUGUUGGUUUGUGCGGUGCAGGACAGAAACUUUGGCUGUAGUGCGCGAUUUUUCAUUUUUUACCGGAAUGUCAAAUGAUUCUGAUUUUUUUGCACUGUCUUUCUGUACAAAUUGUUUAUUUUUCCUAACUUUUGCAGAAUUUUUCAAGUAUCAUAAGUAUGGUGAAUGUUCAGAUUAUUACUGACUGUUCUGUUCUAGACAGAUUCUGUUUUUGAUGCAUAGUUUGCUUGUUUUGAUGAAACUAUCGAUUUAUAUCAGUGGAUUAAGCCAUGAAAAAGUUAUAUUACAGUAGACAUAA